rnacentral:ncRNA from 1 species
CGACCUCAGAGCAGGCGAGAUCACCCGCUGAAUUUAAGCAUAUUAUUAAGCGGUGGAAAAGAAACUAACCAGGAUUUCCCUAGUAGCGGCGAGCUAACAGG